rnacentral:rRNA from 1 species
UACGAAGGGUGCAAGCGUUACUCGGAAUUACUGGGCGUAAAGCGUGCGUAGGUGGUGAGUUAAGUCUGUCGUGAAAGCCCCGGGCUCAACCUGGGAAUGGCGAUGGAUACUGGCUCGCUAGAGUGCGGUAGAGGAGAGUGGAAUUCCCGGUGUAGCAGUGAAAUGCGCAGAUAUCAGGAAGAACACCCGUGGCUAAGGCGGCUCUCUAGUACGGUACUGACGCUGAGACGCGAAAGCGUGGGGAGCGAACAGG